GAUGAACGCUGGCGGCGUGCCUAAUACAUGCAAGUCGAGCGAACAGACGAGGAGCUUGUUCCUCUGACGUUAGCGGCGGACGGGUGAGUAACACGUGGAUAACCUACCUAUAAGACUGGGAUAACUUCGGGAAACCGGAGCUAAUACCGGAUAACAUGUUGAACCGCAUGGUUCAACAGUGAAAGACGGUCUUGCUGUCACUUAUAGAUGGAUCCGCGCCGCAUUUGCUAGUUGGUAAGGUAACGGCUUACCAAGGCAACGAUGCGUAGCCGACCUGAGAGGGUGAUCGGCCACACUGGAACUGAGACACGGUCCAGACUCCUACGGGAGGCAGCAGUAGGGAAUCUUCCGCAAUGGGCGAAAGCCUGACGGAGCAACGCCGCGUGAGUGAAGAAGGUCUUCGGAUCGUAAAACUCUGUUAUUAGGGAAGAACAAAUGUGUAAGUAACUAUGCACGUCUUGACGGUACCUAAUCAGAAAGCCACGGCUAACUACGUG
rnacentral:rRNA from 1 species